UUACUACACAUAGAUACAUACAGCCACCAGUAGAUAGAGCUCAGGAGAUUGCUACAUACAGAUAUAUACAGCCACCACAAGGGGGAGCUCAGGAGUUUACUACAUACAGAUUUAUACAGCCACCUCUUGCGGGAG